rnacentral:rRNA from 1 species
UUAACGGAGAGUUUGAUCCUGGCUCAGGACGAACGCUGGCGGCGUGCUUAACACAUGCAAGUCGAACGGGCACUUCGGUGCUAGUGGCGAACGGGUGAGUAAAGCGCAGGUAAUCUGCCGCAAAGUUGGGGACAACGUUCCGAAAGGGACGCUAAUACCGAAUGUUGUACGGGCUUCGCAUGGGGCUUGUACCAAAGAUUUAUCGCUUUGCGAGGAGCCUGCGUCCGAUUAGGUAGUUGGUGGGGUAAGAGCCUACCAAGCCGACGAUCGGUAGCCGGUCUGAGAGGAUGAACGGCCACAAUGGAACUGAGACACGGUCCAUACUCCUACGGGAGGCAGCAGUGGGGAAUAUUCCACAAUGGGGGAAACCCUGAUGGAGCGACGCCGCGUGAGUGAAGAAGGGCUUCGGCUCGUAAAGCUCUU